rnacentral:rRNA from 1 species
UACGUAGGGGGCAAGCGUUGUCCGGAAUCAUUGGGCGUAAAGAGCGUGUAGGCGGCCCGGUAAGUCCGCCGUGAAAGUCCAGGGCUCAACCCUGGAAGUGCUUUUGAUACUGCAGAGCUUGAAUGUGGGAGAGGGUAGUGGAAUUCCAGGUGUAGUGGUGAAAUACGUAGAUAUCUGGAGGAACACCGGUGGCGAAGGCGGCUACCUGGCCCAACAUUGACACUGAGACCCGAAAGCGUGGGGAUCAAACAGG